UAUGCCAUAUAGGCACCUCAAAAGCAAACAUACAAAUUUACUUAAACAUAUACAAGUACUUGACACUUUUCAUUCAUCAACACCUAAAUCAUUUUCAUCUCAAACUUAUCACAAAUUGACCUAUAUCACUUUAGCUUAAACGAACCAUUUGUACCAUACCAUUCACACAUUAUAAGUACCAAACUAUCAUAAUGUAACCAUCAUCAAAUUGGCACCAAACAGCCAACUUAUACAUACCAAAAUCCAUGUCUAAGCAUUUAAACAAACAUCAAACACAAGUCCACCUAUACAUGCCAUUAUAACCUUUUCUAAAACAUUAAGAACUAUCGAUAUAAUCGUUGGAUAGUAUGAUAGAUCUUCGACGAACUUCCAAACUGAUCAAGCUUUCGAUAAUCUGAAAAGUAAAGGAAAAAUAACUACGUAAGCAAUGAAUGCUUGGUAAGCUUGUAUAAAUUUUAAACAUAACAUUUCAUUUCAAUAAUGAACUUUAUAAGGUAAGCAAAAACCUAUUCCAAUGCCAUAAGAUUUAUCAAACCUUCCAUUUACUUACUUUAGCUUCAAAGACAUUAUCAACUCAAAAAAUAGUGUAUUUAUCCACAACCUAGAUAAAUUCAUCCAUAACUUAAGUAAAUUUCUCACAUAUAAGUAAACACUUUAACUCAUCAAUGUAUUUACAUUAUCACAUUGCUCUUAAUUAUGAACUUACCAUUUUAUUACAUUUCCUCACUCAUAUCAUUUGCAUAACACAAGACAUAAACAUAAACAUAGGCCAAUUAUGCAAACUUGACACAAGCCUAUAUAUCAUCAUCAAUACACCAGUUAGUGCAUAUACUUAUAAUUCACUCGAAAUAUCAUAAGGUAAGUCAUAUAUAUAUGAAUAACAUCACUUGAAAUCAUCAAUUUCAUGAACAUAAACAUACUUUCGUUGAACAAUACCUUUUUAUUCCGUUUCAUAGAUUCAUGACAUAAGUCUUUUGAAUACUUAUCAAUCCCUUCCUUUUCAUACCCGUUGAAUCAAAUGAAAUAACAUCGAAUAAUAGAAAUAAUAUUUUCAGUAAAACUUACCUGGUACAAUACAUUGGCACGAAGAUUGCCAGGCUCAAAGCCUGAUAUAAUACAGUGGUACGAAGCCUACUAGGCACAAAGCCUAAUAUAAUACACCGGAAUGAAGCCUACUAAACACAAAGUUUGAUAUAAUACACCGGCACAAAGCUUGCUAGGCACAGAGCCCGAGUAUCACCAACACAAAGCCUACUAGGUACAAAGCCCAAAUAUCACCGGCACGAAGCCUGCUAGGCAGAGAGCCCAAAUAUCACCGGCAUAAAGCCUGCUAGACACAAAGCCCAAAUAACGUUACGUUUCUAUUUCCUAAAACAUAGAUAGAUGACAUUCAAGAUUUAACCAAUAGAAAUAGUAUGAAACAUUCAACUCAGUUAAUAAUAAUCGUAUAAUGAACUUACCUGGCUAAAUUGCAGAAAUAUCAAAGUAUAGGGGCUUUUUGGUAAUUUUUCAUUCUUAAUUUUUCACUCAAUCUUGAUCUAAAUUAAUAAUUUUAUUCAAUUAAUUAAUUUAGAUAGUAAAACAAUUUAUUUUAUGCAAUUUAGUUGUUUUUGAUAUUUUUACAAAAUUACCCCUAACAUUUUACUUUUAUUCAAUUUAGUCUUUGAGCCUAAAACAUGCAAAUUAACCAUUUUUAAUGCCAAUUCACAUCAAUCAAGUAUUCAUGGCACACAAAACAAUGCAUUCAUGCAAAAAAUUCAUAAGAAAUACUAUUUUAACAAUUUAAUCCCUAAUCAACAAAUUCAUUAAAAAUCACUUAACAAAAUACUUUCACAUAACAACUAAUAUUUCAAAUUCAUUAAUUAACAUAAAAAAUCACAAUAUUCAUCAAUGGAAACAUUCAAAAUCGAAGGUACGACCUAGUUGCACCUAGUUGCAACGAUCUCAAAAACAUAAAAAUUAUUAGAAACGGGGCUAAAUCAAAAUUACAUGCAUAUUGUGAAGUUUGGACGAAGCUUGAGUAUUCUUUCAUGGAGGUUCAGCCAUUCAAAAAGAAGAAUGAAGAAAAAUUUUGAUGAAUUUCAAUAUGUUUUAAGUUACGUUUCAACUUAUUUACAAAUUUGCCAUUAAACAUAUUUUAUUUUAUCAUUUUCAUUCAAGUUGCCGUCCAACCAUAUUAAUUAAGGCUAAAUCACAAUAUAGGUCUCCUCAUUUCGUUAAUAAGCUAUUUGAUCAUCUAAAUGUUAUAAUUACUAAGUUUUGUAUCUUUUACAAUUUAGUCCUUUUCUUUAAUUAACUAUCUCGUUAAAAUUUUUCAACAAAACUUUAAUACCACCUUAAUGACAUUCUAUAAAUAAUUAUAAAAAUAUUUAUGACUUAUUUUAUAAAAACGAGGUCCAGAUACCUCAUUUUCUAAAACCACUUCACUUUAGGGUCUUACCACUUAAACUUAAUAAAUUGCUUAUAUAACAUAAAUUAUCAAAUUAAAAACCUUUUAAAACUAUAUUUGACUCGUAAAUAUUAUUAUUUAAUAUUUACGAACUUGUCAGAUUUGGUGGCCCUGAAACCACAGUUUCUGACACCAAUGAAAAUGGGUUGUUACAUGAACUUACCUUAUACCAGAUAUGAAACAAAAGCAUUACACAUAUAAGGGGUAUGGAGAAACUCACCAGAUAUUGUAGAAAAGUUCAGAAAUCAGGACCCUUGCCCUUAUCUCGGGAGUUUUCAAGAGUCUCUUGAGCUAUAAUGUCAAUAUUUAUCUUAUCAGAUCAUUUUACCAACAACUAAACAAGUUUUAACGAAAACAUGAAUAUGAAACUUAGAAUAUGAAAGUUUCCUCCUUCCCUAUUUUAAACUAACCUUAAAGCAUAAAACGCUAGGGCAUUGCAAAUAACUAUAAAAAUAACUUGAGUUUUAUUGGCAUUUACCAGGUACCAAUGUCGAUGGAGUUUGCUGAAUAUAACAAACUCGAUCCUUCAAGCAAGUCUUAGUUCUAAAGUUUUUCGACAAAUGCAAGGAAGAUUUAGAGAGAAAAUAAG
rnacentral:lncRNA from 1 species